GUCUUAGUUACUCACACCGCACUGCCUGAAGAGAACGUCUGUGCAACCCAAAAAUAAAACGUCCUGGGAAAUUCCUCCCUUUCCCUGGUCCAGAAGUUGUGCAGUCUUGGCAACACUUGGCUGAUAUCCACAAACAAAACUUUUAGGGGAAACCACAUACACGUUCCGGUUCUUAAUGAGAGUAAGUGCUGACUUGGCAGACACCUAGUCGACGACUAAGAAUAUAUUCUCUGGGAUCAACACACAAGAUCCAAAGCGAACACUACAAAUAAAUUUUCUGGGAUCAACACACAAGAUCCAAAGCAGACACUCUACACACUUCCAGUCCGCUUUUCUUAACUGCCCACAGCCGUCUGCUUCCUUCCAAAUAAUUUUCACGCUACGUCCCUCUCAAAUUGCGUCAUAAAAUGACGUCGGGUUCUGACGCUAACCGCGACGCAACAAAAACACUCUCAUACUGGUAAGGGCAAUAAUCCCUGACUAACACAGACAGGGGCAACAACCCCCUGUUCCUAACAGACACAUACCUGCUUAUCUGUUAUAAAAAUUGUGUUACACGGUGUUAUCGUCUGAAACAUGUGUAGGUGGUGGCCCUUGUCAGUUGUUGUGCCUGUCCAAGUGGUCCUCUCAACGGAAGUCAAGGGAAGAAUGACAAAAUGACUUAAGAGUCGAUCAAGCCGCAGAUUUAUUGCAUCAAGAAACAUGUGAAGCACAUAAGGUCUAUCAACUGGCUUCAAGGCUUAGCUUUUCAAAUAAAUACUUCUUGUGGUAGUGGAUGGACAAGUAACAAACAACAUAUGACUAAUCUGUCUAUGUUUGAGGGACAACUUAUUUAUCAUCACCUAAAAUGAGUAAACAUUUUUACUUUAUUUUGUUCUUCUUUUUGUAUGCAAGAGGUAGGUAUGGGAUAGGGUUUAUAAGUUUCUUUGUAUUUCAAAUAAUUUUUAAUUUUUUUCUAUUUUAGAAGACAAUAUUUCUCUACUACCAAUUAUUGAAGGGUUAGAAGAAAGAGAAUCAUGAAAAGAAAAUAAAGACCAUUAGUACUUAUGUAGAGAUUAUGGUCGCUGAUACAAAAUCUGACUCAAAAGUCGCUUGUCUCUGGAUUAAUGUGUUUUGAAUACUAUAAUGGCUCCCUCAAAUCAUUCAUUUUAGUAAUUUUAAGAUAUUGGAGAUGUCAUUAACGCUGUAUU